AAUGAACGCUGGCGGCGCGCCUAAUACAUGCAAGUCGAGCGAGAAGACGUAGCAAUACGUUUGUAAAGCGGCGAACGGGUGAGGAAUACAUGGGUAACCUACCCUCGAGUGGGGAAUAACUAGCCGAAAGGUUAGCUAAUACCGCGUACGCUUCUUGGACUUCGGUUCAGGGAGGAAAAGCGAUGCCGAGGGUAUCGCGCUCUUGGAUGGGCUCAUGUCCUAUCAGCUUGUUGGGAGGUAACGGCUCACCAAGGCUUCGACGGGUAGCUGGUCUGAGAGGACGAUCAGCCACACUGGCACUGCGACACGGGCCAGACUCCUACGGGAGGCAGCAGUAAGGAAUAUUGCGCAAUGGGCGAAAGCCUGACGCAGCGACGCCGCGUGGGGGAUGAA
rnacentral:rRNA from 1 species